CCUACGGGAUGCAGCAGUAGGGAAUAUUGCUCAAUGGAGGAAACCCUGAAGCAGCAAAGCCGCGUGGAGGAUGAAGGUUUUAGGAUUGUAAACUCCUUUUGUGAGAGAAGAUAAUGACGGUAUCUCACGAAUAAGCACCGGCUAACUCCGUGCCAGCAGCCGCUGUAAUACGGAGUGUGCAAGCGUUACUCGGAAUGACGGGGCGUAAAGAGUGCGCAGGCGGGCUUGUAAGUCAGAUGUGAAAUCCUGUAGCUUAACUAGAGAAAUGCAUUUGAAACUAUGAGUCUAGAGUGUGGGAGAGGUAGGUGGAAUUAUUGGUGGAGGGGUAAAAUCCGUAGAUAUCAAGAGGAAUCCUCAGUGCGAAGGAGACCUACUGGAACAUUACUGACGCUCAUGCACGAAAGCGUGGGGAGCAAACAGGAUUAGAUACCCGGGUAGUC
rnacentral:rRNA from 1 species